GUGCCAGCCGCCGCGGUAAUACGUAGGUGGCGAGCGUUGUCCGGAUUUACUGGGCGUAAAGGGCUUGUAGGCGGUCUGUUAAGUCUGGUGUGAAAUCUCCCGGCUCAACUGGGAGAGGUCAUCGGAUACUGGCAGACUGGAGGUGGGCAGAGGAAAGCAGAAUUCCCGGUGUAGCGGUGAAAUGCGUAGAUAUCGGGAGGAAUACCAGUGGCGAAGGCGGCUUUCUGGGCCUAUCCUGACGCUGAGGAGCGAAAGCGUGGGGAGCAAACCGGAUUAGAUACCCCCGUAGUCC
rnacentral:rRNA from 1 species